rnacentral:rRNA from 1 species
GAUGAACGCUGGCGGCGUGCUUAACACAUGCAAGUCGAACGGGAAACCUUUUAUUGAAGCUUCGGCAGAUUUAGCUGGUUUCUAGUGGCGGACGGGAGAGUCACGCGUGGGUAACCUGCCUUAUACAGGGGGAUAACAGUCAGAAAUGGCUGCUAAUAGCGCAUAAGCGCACAGAGAUGCAUGGCUCAGUGUGAAAAACUCCGGUGGUAUAAGAUGGACCCGCGUUGGAUUAGCUGGUUGGUGGGGUAACGGUCCACCAGAGGGACGAUCCAUAGACGGGCAGAGAGGGACAGCGGACACACUGGGACUGAGACGCGGCGCGGACUCCUACGGGAGGCAGCAGAGGGGAAUAUUGCACAACGGGGGAAAUGAUGAAGCAGCGACGCCGCGAGAAGGAAGAAGGAACGAGGGAUGUAAACGGCUAUCAGCAGGGAAGAUAAUGACGGUACCUGACGAAGAAGCCCCGGGUAACUACGUG